UUCUUUCUUUGGCUGGUCGAGACGCGCACACACAUCCAUUUUAGUUUUCUUUUCAAUUGGCUUGGACAAAGAAGAUCAAAAGCAAAAUAUUUUUCAUUGUUGUAACAAGGAUUUCAUAGUAAUACUAAUUAGGGUUUCAUCAUCAUCUUCUUCAUUUUUAUCGAGAACAACAAAAAGUGGUUUUGGAUAGACGUGGAGACUAGACUGCUCAUUUUCUCGGACUACUCAUACUUUUAGCUCUUUGAUCGCUAAGGCUUGCUUGAGGAGAGACACCACUAGCCGAGGACCUCACUUUUGAUCAGACUUCUUUCACUCUCAAUUCAAGUUUAGAGCAGUAGGUUUGCUAAUGGACCGCCUCUGGAUGUUGUAAUUGUUUGAUGUUUGAAGGCUUGUAAUGCAAACAAGUAUCUUUUUAAUUCGGAUUUGGAAUUACGUAACGGUCUUAAACAAUUGAAUUUGAACUAUGUAAUCGUUUAUUUUGGGAUGAUUUUAAGACUCCAAUUAUGAUGUUUUCCAUUUAA